CCUACGGGGCGCAGCAGUGGGGAAUAUUGCACAAUGGGGAAACCCUGAUGCAGCAACGCCGCGUGAGUGAGGAAGUAUUUCGGUAUGUAAAGCUCUAUCAGCAGGGAAUAGAAAAGAAGGUACCUGAAAAAGAAGCCCCGGCUAACUACGUGCCAGCAGCCGCGGUAAUACGUAGGGGGCAAGCGUUGUCCGGAAUUACUGGGUGUAAAGGGAGCGUAGGCGGGACUGCAAGUUGGG
rnacentral:rRNA from 1 species